GACGAACGCUGGCGGCGUGCUUAACACAUGCAAGUAGAACGAAGUGGCGAACGGGUGAGUAACACGUGGGUAACCUGCCCUCCUUCUGGGGAUAAGUCUUGGAAACGGGGUCUAAUACCGCAUAAAGGGGGAUGGGCUAGCGGCCUAUGAGCGUGUUGGUGGGGUGAUGGCCUACCAAGGCGGCGACGGGUAGCCGGCCUGAGAGGGUGACCGGCCACAGAGGGGCGGAGGUACGGCCCAGACUCCUACGGGAGGGAGCAGUGGGGGAUGUUGCGCAAUGGGAGAGAGCCAGAUGCAGCGACGCAGCGUGGGGGAUGAAGGCUUUCGGGUUGUAAACCUCGUUCGCUAUCGAAAGGGUAGGUAGAGAGAAAGCGCCGGCUAACUACGUGCCAGCAGCCGCGGUAAUAC
rnacentral:rRNA from 1 species